AGAGAAAGUAUAGUAAAUUGAGAGGAGUAAGCAUGCCGGUAUGGAUUACAAGGGAAGCGUGCAAAAACUGUAGGACCCAUGUAAGAAUUGAGUAAAACCCAUUUUUCCCUCAACUACACAACAGAAGUCAUGAAGGAACACCAGUUUCCGAUGGACCACAUUAUGAUACAAAACUGUAUGACUCUGUAUGGGAACUGUUGAACCACGGCCUGAACCUCUGAUUGAUCACCUGAGGCAAGCACUGAGUCAGCUGCAGGAGCACAGGUGAAGGCAAUUCAGCUGUGUGGCCGGAAGGGCUGAAGCCUGGCUGCACCUCUCCUAGACCCCAUUUAAGGGCUGACUGCCACCGAAGAAGGAUCUCUUUCCAGAGAUUGCUCCUCUUUGAGUUUCUCCUGCAGUCCUACAACACGGAUCCUGAACUCCUAGAGGCAGAUUCACAAUGACUUGACUGAAUACAUGUGUCUGAUUCAUCUGAUUCUGACCCAGUGCUCACCUACCCCACUACUGCUGUAUCACAGUACAAGAAAUCUCAAUGUUACAUGAUGCAGCAAAGGCCCUGUAGGAGGAUUACUUAAGCAUAUUGAUUCAGUUUCCUGGAAGAGUGAUGCAUUGAUAUUGUGAAUUAACCUGCUAGAAUUCUCACAGUCCUCCUUUCAGACCUCAGGUAACUUCAUCUUUCCUGUGUCCUCUGGCAUUCUGUGAUGGAUUUUAAGUUAGUCAUUAGUGCUUGCAAAAGAUAUUUUAUGAUUGUCUCAGGUAAAUGAAAGCAUCAGCUCAUUGUUGCACAGAGGUGAAAAAGGCAAAGGGAAUGCUAAGGGUUACACAAGUCAGAAAACAAUGUUGUACUGCUAUAUAAAUUCCUGGUGCAUUUUCACCUUGACUAUUGUAAAGAGCUAGAAAGAUUACGGAGAAGGACAGCAAAUGUCUUAAGGUAUGGAGUCACUCAUAAUGGAGGAAGUACAAAAUGGUUUCUUUACCUUGGAAAAACAAGCAGGAGCUAUUAUGCAGAUCUGUAAAAGAUGUGUGGUGCAGAGAAGGUGAAUAGGAAAUGACUACUUGUUAUUUCUCACAGCACAGGAGCUAAAGGGCACCCAGUGAAUUUAUAAGCUAUGAUAAAUUAGUUUUAAUGCAAACUGAAAGCAGUGCUUUUCUGCACAACAUAUAAUUGUGAAACUUAGUGCUACAGCAUUUUGAUGAGGCCAAGAACAGAAAGGGAUUCAGAAGCAGACGAAGUUUUCAUGGGAUAAAUACGUGUGUGGCUGCUGAACAUGGCCUACAUGCAGCCUUUGUGUCAGGUUCUUGAAGGUGUAACGUCAUGAAUCUAGAAGGUUGUAUCAAAAGAUCACCCUUAAUUUUUUUUUAACUUUUUGUAGCCUCUCAUAAAGUGGUACUUCUGUUCUUCUAUUACUGAACAGAGGAUAGUGAAUGAGUGGAACCUUCGGUCUAAUUCUGUACAAUUAUUCUUAUGUUCUCUGAAUGAUGGAAUUCUGACAGUAACCUCAGACACCUGUUCCUAUAUGGAAUUGUAGUGAAUGAUUUAUCUCGUGUAGACUUGGAUUUCAUCUCUCUUGACACACCAGACCAGACACGAUGGUCUCGAGCAAAGUAGGAGCGUGUUCCUAUGGUGACAUUAUG